CAGAGCCUCAGCAGUCCUGUCAGACGCCAUGGUCUUCAGCACAGCUCUCCUCACAGCCCUGCUGCUCGCUCUCCCUGGCUCCCAGGGACUUGUGAUGACCCAGCAGAAAUCUCUGUCUGUGUCUCCCGGAGCUUCGGCUAAAAUAUCCUGUGCUAUUGAUAGUCACAGGAGCUGGGUUAUUACCUGGUACCAGCAGAAGACCGGCAGUGCUCCUCGGUUCCUUCUGUAUGACUCAACCCGAGGGUCUGGAACGCCAGAGAGAUUUACUGCUUCUGAAGAGUCCUCUGGCAAAAUGGAAUAUCUGAACAUCGCCAGCGUUCAGCAGGAGGACGAGGCCACCUACUACUGCGCCUGCCACGGCUGUCCCUCAGACGGGGUGACAGUCUUUGGAGGGGGAACGAGGCUUGAUGUCGGUGGCCAGUCUUCCAGCCCCCCCACGCUGACCCUGAUGCCCCCCUCCCAGCGGGAGCUGUCUGAGCGUGGCAGUGCCACCCUGGUGUGCCUGGCGCAGGGCUUCUACCCCGACUCGGUCAGCGUGUCCUGGGCGGAGGAUGGCCAGGCGCGCAGCGGUGCCGCGGUCCAGACCAGCGCGGCCCAGCGCCAGCCCGACGGCACCUUCUCUCUCACCAGCCUCAUGUCACUGACCGCUGCCCAGUGGAGCUCGGGGCACUCCUUCUCCUGCCAGCUGAGCCACCCAGCACUGAGCUCCCCGCUGACCAGGAGCGUGAGCCUAGCAGAGUGCAACCAGGGUUAGAGAGAAUAACUGUCCUGGCCGCUAUCCCUGACCCUAACACUGCUGCUGCUGAAAAUAACUGUCCUGGCCUUCGCUCUGUCCCCCCUACUGACCGCUAUCCCUGACCCUAACACUGCUGCUGAAAAUAACUGUCCUGGCCUUUGCUCUGUCCACCCUACUGACCGCUAUCCCUGACCCUCAUCCCCAUCCCCAUACUGUUUCUAACAAUGACCUUUAAUCCUCAAACACGUGGCUGUUGAUUAACAGCCUGAGCACAGCAGUGAUCUAAGACUAGAGGACAUCGCACUGCAUAUUGACACCUCCACUGUAGCAUACCGCCCAACACAGCCUGCCUACUGAUGUCAGUACUGCCACUGACCUCGAUACUGGCCCUGUUACUGACUCCCUUCCUUCCCGUGACCCUGACAAUACUGCUGCUGACACCCACGCCCACUGUUCAUGCGGGACAACGACCUCUAACCCCAAAAGAAAAGAUCUUUGUCUUCAGCUACAGUGGACUCAGCAGCCGUCAGCAGGGCCUCAGGCCUGCCAGCAGUACUGACAGCUACGGGCGGCUGAUGCCGCGCUCUCCGAUGUGCCUGUAUGUGUUCAUGUGUAUGUCUGACCUCUGACCCCUGCUGUCUUACUGACCCUGUGCAUGUUCCUGCUCUGCUGACUGUCUCGCUGGGGUGGUCCUCUGCUGUGAUCUCCAUCCCUGCACCCGGCUCUGACUGCGUCUGUACCUAAUAAAGCAUUGAGAAAGUCUCA